GGACAUGUACUCAAGUGGCUGAAGAGAAUACCUUGGAAAGGUAUUAGGUCGUGCAAAUGGAGCGGGGGUUCAAAUCCCGCCAUGUCCG